ACAGCAGUAGCCGCGGGAAUACGUAGGUGGCAAGCGUUGUCCGGAAUUAUUGGGCGUAAAGGGCUCGCAGGCGGUUUCUUAAGUCUGAUGUGAAAGCCCCCGGCUCAACCGGGGAGGGUCAUUGGAAACUGGGAAACUUGAGUGCAGAAGAGGAGAGUGGAAUUCCACGUGUAGCGGUGAAAUGCGUAGAGAUGUGGAGGAACACCAGUGGCGAGGGCGACUCUCUGGUCUGUAACUGACGCUGAGGAGCGAAAGCGUGGGGAGCGAACAGGAUUAGAUACCCCGGUAGUCCCUGUCUCUUAUAC
rnacentral:rRNA from 1 species